rnacentral:rRNA from 1 species
AUACGGAGGGUGCGAGCGUUAAUCGGAAUUACUGGGCGUAAAGCGCACGUAGGUGGUUUGUUAAGUGGGAUGUGAAAGCCCCGGGCUCAACCUGGGAACUGCAUUCCAAACUGAUGAACUAGAGUACGGUAGAGGGGGGUAGAAUUCAGAGUGUAGCGGUGAAAUGCGUAGAUAUUCUGAGGAAUACCGGUGGCGAAGGCGGCCCCCUGGAUUGAUACUGACACUGAGGUGCGAAAGCGUGGGGAGCAAACAGGAUUAGAUACCCGGGUAGUCC